GGCGAUCGUCGCUCCCGAGUUGAGGUUUCUGCAUCUGUAGUUUCGGGUCCCUGUUUUGUUUGAGCGUCUGUCGUUUGGACGAAGCAGCUGGGUGUGGUCUGUACUGCUCCCUGAACAACGUACGCGCACACUCUGGUUGAAAAAGAUCCACCACCAAGAAAAACCUGGGCUCUUUACUGAAAGAACUCGGCCACGGACUGGUGGCUCAGCACUUGCUACCAACCCUGAAGAUUGAAUUUGAUCCCCAGGACGCAACCUGCUGGAAGGAGAGAACCAACGUCCAGUAAUUGUCCUUUGAUCCCCAUAUACAUGCACAAAAUAAAAUGUUAACGACACA
rnacentral:lncRNA from 7 species